ACGGAAGGCAGCAGUGGGGAAUAUUGGGCAAUGGGCGAAAGCCUGACCCAGCAACGCCGCGUGAAGGAAGAAGGCCUUCGGGUUGUAAACUUCUUUUACCAGGGACGAAGGACGUGACGGUACCUGGAGAAAAAGCAACGGCUAACUACGUGCCAGCAGCCGCGGUAAUACGUAGGUUGCAAGCGUUGUCCGGAUUUACUGGGUGUAAAGGGCGCGUAGGCGGGGAUGCAAGUCAGAUGUGAAAUCCAUGGGCUUAACUCAUGAACUGCAUUUGAAACUGUAUCUCUUGAGUGUCGGAGAGGUAGAUGGAAUUCCUAGUGUAGCGGUGAAAUGCGUAGAUAUUAGGAGGAACACCAGUGGCGAAGGCGAUCUACUGGACGAUAACUGACGCUGAGGCGCGAAAGCGUGGGGAGCAAACAGGAUUAGAUACCCUGGUA
rnacentral:rRNA from 1 species